GACGAACGCUGGCGGCGUGCUUAACACAUGCAAGUCGAACGGAAAGGCCCUGCUUGCAUGGUGCUCGCGUGUCGAACGCGUGAGUAAAACGCGGGUGUUCUGUCCCCUUUUCUUGGAUAUGCCUUCAGAAAUCUGUCGAAUACUCCGGAGGAGAGUGCCUGCGGCGGGGUGGUGGAUAGAUAUUCGGCGGUUGUGGGUGAGCUCGCGGCUUAUCAGCUUGUUGGUGGGGUAGUGGGGUACCAAGGCGUUGACGGGUAGCCGGCCUGAGAGGGUGACCGGCCACAUUGGGACUGAGAUACGGCCCAGACUCCUACGGGAGGCAGCAGUGGGGAAUAUUGCACAAUGGGCGGAAGCCUGAUGCAGCAACGCCGCGUGCGGGAUGACGGCCUUCGGGUUGUAAACCGCUUUCGCCUGUGACGAAGCGUGAGUGACGGUAAUGGGUAAAGAAGCACCGGCUAACUACGUG
rnacentral:rRNA from 1 species